GGUUGGAGAGAAAAGGAUUAGAGGUCAUGACUGCUCUUGUUUACUCAGAACAACUGACGAAACCUGAUUAUCCCCCAGAUUUCUCCUCUUGGAUUGAAACACCUCUCACAUGUCCGGAUUGGGGCCCUGUGGUGUUAGGAUGGCAUCCCACCAUGGAGGCCACUCUGUCCUCUUCCUUCCCACAGGGGGGCAAAAGAGGGGCUCCCAGCAUUGCUGUGGCAGUUCCUUCCAUGGCCUGAGCCUCCCUUCCCAUCAGAGCAGUGAAAGAGACUCAAACCACUCUGGAUUGAGUGACACCUGCUCCUCAUUCAGAGACAGGGGACAAGGAAGCAGGGCUUGCUCCCUCCGACUCAGGAAUGACCUGCUGGGUUUAAAGACUCCCUCAGGAGGAAGCCCCUCAUUCAUUCACUCAUCUGUUUAGCCUGCCCU
rnacentral:lncRNA from 1 species